UAACAUACAGUUCUGGGUUUGUUUCUGGGUUUUCUGUACUGUUUCAUUGAUCCAUGUAUCGGUUUUUAUGCCAGUACCAUACCGUUUUGA